rnacentral:rRNA from 1 species
UAGGGAAUCUUCCACAAUGGACGCAAGUCUGAUGGAGCAACGCCGCGUGAGUGAAGAAGGCUUUCGGGUCGUAAAACUCUGUUGUUGGAGAAGAAUGGUCGGCAGAGUAACUGUUGUCGGCGUGACGGUAUCCAACCAGAAAGCCACGGCUAACUACGUGCCAGCAGCCGCGGUAAUACGUAGGUGGCAAGCGUUAUCCGGAUUUAUUGGGCGUAAAGCGAGCGCAGGCGGUUUUUUAAGUCUGAUGUGAAAGCCCUCGGCUUAACCGAGGAAGCGCAUCGGAAACUGGGAAACUUGAGUGCAGAAGAGGACAGUGGAACUCCAUGUGUAGCGGUGAAAUGCGUAGAUAUAUGGAAGAACACCAGUGGCGAAGGCGGCUGUCUGGUCUGUAACUGACGCUGAGGCUCGAAAGCAUGGGUAGCGAACAGGAUUAGAUACCCUGGUAGUCCAUGCCGUAAACGAUGAAUGCUAGGU